UUCUGUAAGGGUAUUAGAUAUACAGAAGAAAUUCCUGCUAAAAUAUGUUUCACAAUUGUCCUGUAAUUGGUGGUUUUUGGCGCCCCCUACUGUUUACCUAUAAAUUGGAUGAGAAACCAAAAAUUCCACACAGUUGGUUCAGCGCUCUGUUGUGAGCCAUAGGUUGACCGGUAGAGAGGCUAACUGCGCCAUAUGUGUUUUGUCAACCACUGAUUACAGAUUGCAAUAAAUCACCUAAAAACCAACCAACYGGCCUCCGAGUGUGCAUAAUAGGACGGACAGGUAAAGACAGAGCUGUCACACUUCCUCCUCCAAACAUCAGACAUGCUGCAGUCACAGCGCAGUAGAAGAUCCAUCUGACAUAUGGAGUUUCCAUUGCUGCUCGGCGCGCAGAGAUGUCAAAACUCCCAAACUAAAGAGUGAGGAUGCGUCGAGUUUCUUCACUGGCAUUGAGACGAACCGUCCUAUUGGUCAGGAACCCCUGUGUAGCCAGAACUUCCCCGCCACUCAGAAUUAGCGGUCAAACACUCUCUGCAGCUUGCAGUGACUGAGAUGUGUCCAGCUAGGUCUUUCAGCAAUCUUUACAGCUGUUGGUGUUGUCUUCAGCACCUGGAACGGUCCUUCCCACCGUAGACUCGCCCAGUUCUUUCGUUUGAUGACUUUAAUGUAGACCCAGUCACCUGGCUCGAUGGGAGCGGCCUCCUGGAAGGAAGAGAAUCAGAAGGCAGUAAAUUUGCACUGGACACUUCCUUCAGUUUAAGAGUUCUGAUCAUAUAAUCUGCUAAUGUUUGUUAUUCAUCUGCUUUCUGUAAGUCUGGAGCAAACAGAGUCUAUCUAUAAGCUCUCCCAUGAAUUAUUUCAAAAGCAGGCUUUGCUGGAACUAUUUCAACCCAUUUAGAAAAAGCAUCAAUUAUCAUCUAACCGUAUUUGUUAAUUCAAAAGUUCAUAACAAAAAAAACUUUUAUGUAAGAAUUUUAGUGGUUCUAUUACCUCACCAUUUUCCCUUUUCCCCCCUUUUUUACACAUGGUUUCUAUUGUAAAAAGGGGGCCCAUGUGUUACAAUCACUUGAGCUUGAAAUAAAGUCUUUGGGAGGAUUAAUAGUUAAUUCAGGUGAACUCACAGGUUUAUUGCUUUUAGAAGAUCCUUUAGCAAACAAGUCUUUUAAUUACAGGUUUACCUUUCAUUUAUUUAUUUUUUUGUUAAAUUCAGCAGCUUCAACAUUUCUAUGUUAUUUCUCUAAAAUAAAAAUGACCAUCUUUAAUUUAAACCA